rnacentral:rRNA from 1 species
GACGAACGCUGGCGGCGUGCUUAACACAUGCAAGUCGAACGGAAAGGCCCUGCUUUUGUGGGGUGCUCGAGUGGCGAACGGGUGAGUAACCCGUGAGUAACCUGCCCUUGACUUUGGGAUAACUUCAUGAAACUUGGGCUAAUACCGGAUAGGAGCUCCUGCUGCAUGGUGGGGGUUGGUAAGUUUCGGCGGUUGGUGAUGGACUCGCGGCUUAUCAGCUUGUUGGUGGGGUAGUGGCUUACCAAGGCUUUGACGGGUAGCCGGCCUGAGAGGGUGACCGGCCACAUUGGGCUGGAGAUACGACCCAGACUAGUCCGGGACGGAGGAGUGGGGAAUAUUGCACAAUGGGCGGAAGCAUGAUGCAGCAAAGCAGCGUGCGGGAUGACGGCAAUCGGGUUGUAUACCGCUUUCGCCUGUGACGAAGCGUGAGUGACGGUAAUGGGUAAAGAAGCACCGGCUAACUACGUG